GUGCUUGCACUGGUUGGAUUAGUGGCGAACGGGUGAGUAAUACGUGAGUAACCUGCCUUUGACUCUGGGAUAAGCCUUGGAAACGAGGUCUAAUACCGGAUAUGACACAGUUUCGCAUGAAAUCUGUGUGGAAAGGGUUUGUACUGGUUUUAGAUGGGCUCACGGCCUAUCAGCUUGUUGGUGGGGUAAUGGCUCACCAAGGCGACGACGGGUAGCCGGCCUGAGAGGGUGACCGGCCACACUGGGACUGAGACACGGCCCAGACUCCUACGGGAGGCAGCAGUGGGGAAUAUUGCACAAUGGGCGCAAGCCUGAUGCAGCGACGCCGCGUGAGGGAUGACGGCCUUCGGGUUGUAAACCUCUUUCAGCAGGGGAGAAGCGAAAGUGACGGUACCUGCAGAAGAAGCGCCGGCUAACUACGUGCCAGCAGCCGCGGUAAUACGUAGGGCGCGAGCGUUGUCCGGAAUUAUUGGGCGUAAAGAGCUUGUAGGCGGUUUGUCGCGUCUGCUGUGAAAGCCCGGGGCUUAACUCCGGGUUUGCAGUGGGUACGGGCUAACUAGAGUGCAGUAGGGGAGACUGGAAUUCCUGGUGUAGCGGUGGAAUGCGCAGAUAUCAGGAGGAACACCGAUUGCGAAGCAGGUCUCUGGGCUGUAACUGACGC
rnacentral:rRNA from 1 species